CCGCGCGCCUUCCUCAGCCGCUGUUAACCCCGGGGUCUAGAGAAGCACUGAGAGGACUCCUCAGCCUGGCGCUGUGCACAAUUAAAAUAGCAGAGUUCCCAUCUCCAAGGAAUUUGCAACCAUAGACAGCACAGUGAAGACAGGUGUUAACUUGAAGGCAGCGCACAAACGAUCUCCUGCCCUGGGAGAAGCCAGCUGCCAUAUCAUGAGAACGUGUAAGCAUCCUUGAGGAGCGGUCCAUGUGCUUUCCAGUGACUGCAGCCCUGGCCAACCUCUUGAUGGCCUCCUCAUGAGAGCUGAUGAGCCAGGACCACCCAGUGAAGCCAUUCCUGGAUUCGUGUCCUGCAGACACGGUGCAGCAGGUACUGGGGACUGGUUGCCACCAUUACAGCAUUAGUUGGUGCUAUAGACUGAAUUCUCUGUGCAUGCACCAAGCAAAGGCCAUGUGAGGACAUACCAGGAAAAGGCCCUCACCAGACACCAAAUCUGCCAGCACUCCAGUCUUGAACUUCCCAGCUUCUAGAACGAUGAGAAAUAAACUUCUAUUGUUUAAGCCACCCAA